rnacentral:piRNA from 1 species
UACAUGGAUAGAAUAAAAGACCUUAGAAU